rnacentral:misc_RNA from 1 species
CGGGUUGUGUGGGUUGGCGGGCUCCGUGCUUCGGCAUCGAACCGUCCGCGCGCGCUCCGUGUCAGUGACGCAAUAAGAAUAUCUUGUGCCCCGAACGGAUUCCUGUAUUUGUUGCCUAUCGUAAAGGAACGGUGCCUCUCGUUGACCCUUUCCUUCCCCAACCCGCGCGGCCGGGGGAAGGACAUCAUAGCACUGCUUGUGCCCCCUCGUGCUGAACGCCCCUCGCGGCGCGGACAGUGCGGCGGUUUCCAAGUUGCCUGCUCGAUAUCUCGGAUACGGAAAAUUCGGCGGACUCGGGGUCUUUGCACCCCGGCACGUCCGGUUUAAAGCGACACGUACGACCGCCAGGCCCGUUGCGGGGUUUCCCGCGCGGCGUCCGGCGUCGGCAAAGGAAUGCUACCUGGUU